CCUACGGGAGGCAGCAGUGGGGAAUUUUGGACAAUGGGGGCAACCCUGAUCCAGCAAUGCCGCGUGAGUGAAGAAGGCCUUCGGGUUGUAAAGCUCUUUUGUCAGGGAAGAAACGGUGUUUCCUAAUACGGAAUGCUAAUGACGGUACCUGAAGAAUAAGCACCGGCUAACUACGUGCCAGCAGCCGCGGUAAUACGUAGGGUGCAAGCGUUAAUCGGAAUUACUGGGCGUAAAGCGUGCGCAGGCGGUUUUAUAAGUCUGAUGUGAAAUCCCCGGGCUCAACCUGGGAACUGCAUUGGAGACUGUAAGGCUAGAGUGUGUCAGAGGGGGGUAGAAUUCCACGUGUAGCAGUGAAAUGCGUAGAUAUGUGGAGGAAUACCGAUGGCGAAGGCAGCCCCCUGGGAUAACACUGACGCUCAUGCACGAAAGCGUGGGGAGCAAACAGGAUUAGAUACCCUGGUAGUCCACGCCCUAAACGAUGUCUACUAGUUGUCGGGUCUUAAUUGACUUGGUAACGCAGCUAACGCGUGAAGUAGACCGCCUGGGGGAGGUACGGUCGCGAGAAGUUAAACUAACAAUAGAAGUUAGACGGCGUGAGACGUGACCGAACGGACGACGACGAGGGAGGUUAGG
rnacentral:rRNA from 1 species